rnacentral:pre_miRNA from 1 species
UAAAUACUCCCUCCGUCCGGAAAUACUUGUCAUCAAAAUGGAUAAAAGGAAAUGUAUCUAGACGUAUUUUAGUUUUAGAUACAUCUCUUUUUAUCCAUUUUGAUGACAAGUAUUUUCGGACGGAGGGAGUAGAAA